UGUGGUAUGGCUCAGGUGGUAGAGCACCUGCCUAACAAGCAUGAGGCCCUGAGUUCAAACCUCAGUACCACAA